rnacentral:rRNA from 1 species
UAGGGAAUAUUGGUAAUGUGCGAAAGCGCGAACCAGCAACGCCGCGUGCACGAUGAAGGCCUUCGGGUCGUAAAGUGCUUUUAGAGAGGAUGAGGAAGGACAGUACUUUCUGAAUAAGCCUCGGCUAACUACGUGCCAGCAGCCGCGGUAAAACGUAGGAGGCUAGCGUUAUCCGGAUUUACUGGGCGUAAAGCGCAUGCAGGUGGUUUUGUAAGUUGGAUGUGAAAGCUCCUGGCUUAACUGGGAGAGGUCGUUCAAAACUACAAGACUUGAGAUUGGUAGAGGAAAAUGGAAUUCCGGGUGUAGUGGUGAAAUGCGUAGAUAUCCGGAGGAACACCAGUGGCGAAAGCGGUUUCCUGGACCAAUUCUGACACUCAGAUGCGAAAGCUAAGGUAGCAAACG